CAACCAUCAAGCUCAGCUUGCGUUGGGGGCCUGCGGCUGCCGCAGCCCCUUAAAAUCAGUGGCGGGCUCACUAUCAUUCCGAGCGCAGUAGUUAUAUCUCGCUCCGGGCGUGGCGGUGGGCACUUGCCGUAAAACACUUUCCAAA
rnacentral:misc_RNA from 1 species